rnacentral:rRNA from 1 species
UAAUACAGAGGGUGCAAACGUUGCUCGGAAUUACUGGGCGUAAAGCGCGUGUAGGCUGACAUGCAAGUCGGGUGUGAAAUCCCAGGGCUCAACCUUGGAACUGCAUUCGAAACUGCACGUCUUGAGUACUGGAGAGGGAAGCGGAAUUCCGGGUGUAGAGGUGAAAUUCGUAGAUAUCCGGAGGAACACCAGUGGCGAAGGCGGCUUCCUGGACAGUAACUGACGCUGAGACGCGAAAGCGUGGGGAGCAAACAGG